UACGGGGGGGGCAAGCGUUGUUCGGAAUUACUGGGCGUAAAGGGCUCGUAGGCGGCCAACUAAGUCAGACGUGAAAUCCCUCGGCUUAACCGGGGAACUGCAUCUGAUACUGGAUGGCUUGAGUUCGGGAGAGGGAUGCGGAAUUCCAGGUGUAGCGGUGAAAUGCGUAGAUAUCUGGAGGAACACCGGUGGCGAAGGCGACAUCCUGGACCAACACUGACGCUGAGGAGCGAAAGCCAGGGGAGCAAACGGG
rnacentral:rRNA from 1 species